rnacentral:lncRNA from 1 species
UGGGUCAUGUUGAUAGGCUGGAGCAUUGAUAGAUCUGACUGAGAGAAAAAAAGGAAAAACUCAUUUGUUUUACAACGUGUAAAAUUCAUUUGAAUUUGAAAUACCGCAAACAAAGUUCGAUGCUCUGCUGCUACCUUUAAUUAUGAUCUUUGUAGAUUCAACAUUAUAUUUUAUCAAUUAAGCCGCUGUGGUGCUAAUUUUGAAAAUUAGCAUCAUCCGUGUGAACGUCCAUUUAAACUAGAGCUAUAAACCUGGGGGAUUGUCUAUUUACUCUGGGACAUAGUAUAAAAGUCCAAGAUUUACUCAGGGACAAAUCGAAAAUGUCGUUAAACACAGUUUAGAGUUGUUAAGGUAUCGGAAAUAUAUCAUAUUGUUUAGACAGUAUAAAAAAGGCCACACGCACAUCGUUAUGUAAGUAAAGUUUUGUUUUCUAUUUCUAUUUUUUGUUGUUGACAAAUUG